AUGAUCCGACGAGCCGGGGCGCCCGAGCGCGCGGACCCCGUGGGUCCUAUUCCAGAUGUUGGCAAAGGAGAAAAACAGGAAGAGGAGAAGGAAGACGGAGUGGGGCCCGGCCUGCCAGGCACUCCGAAAAACUGCCUUCCUCGCCGGGACAUCAGCGUCCUGGAGAAACUCGUCAAGACGUGCCCGGUGUGGCUGCAACUGGGUCUGGCCCGGGCGGAGGCGGCCAGGAUCCUACACCGGGAGGCAGCCGGGGCAUUCCUGGUCCGCCGGGACAGCAGCUUGAAGCACCUGGUGCUCUGUGUCCACUUCCCUUCCCUGAAUGAAAGCUCAUCCGAGGUGCUCGAAUACACCAUUAAAGAAGAAAAAUCGAUACUGUACCUGGAAGGCUCGGUUCUUGUGUUUGAGGACAUCUUCAGACUGAUCGCAUUCUACUGUGUCAGUAGAGAUUUAUUGCCCUUCACGCUGAGGCUGCCCCGGGCCAUCCUCGAAGCCCGCAGCUCCACAGACCUCGAGAUCAUCUCCAACCUGGGCCUGGGCUUCUGGGACUCCUCGCUGAACCCCCGGCGAGGAGGUGGGAGUCCAGCGGAAGCCCCAAGAGACCCAGCCCCCGGAGCGCCCCCCGCCUCCAGCCUCAAGUCCACCGCCCAUCCCGAAAACUGCUCGUGUGAAAUCGAGCUAUCCAUAGGAAACGGCCGCCUGUGGUUUGUGAAUCCGAUCUUCAUCGAGGACUGUGGCCGUGCCCCGCCGGCCGACCAGCCCCCCGCUGGAAACUGCCCCUCGCGCCCGGCGCCCCCCAGCUCUGACGCUACCUCACCCACCUCCCGGUGGGCCCCCCGCCGCCCGGCGCCCCCUCCCCCGCCACUCCCCCUGCACCCCCCGGGCUUCAGCCGGCCGCCUCCUGCUUCUCCUCCCUCUCCGGCCAGUCCUUUGCCCAGUUCUCCCCCGGCGGCGGCUCCCUCGCCUCCAGAGGCUCUUCCGCCCUCACCCCCAGGACCUGCCCCCCACUUGGCACCCCAUGCCCCGGGCCCCCCGGAGCUUCCAAGCCAGCCACCCAUGACAGCCUGUGAGAGGCUCCCACGCCCCCUCACAGGCCUGGACCCUCUCAGGGAGGAAGAGAUGAAGCCUGGGGCAGCCGCCAGCCCCUUGAAAGCCCCCGCUCCCCCAGUGGCCACGAAGAAGAGCCUCCCCACGGUUCCUCCCAGACGCCGCAUCUCCGAGAAGGUCUCCCUGGAGGACCAGAGCGCAGGGAAGCCAGACAGGGGGCCGGCCGCAGAGGGGGCCCCCGAGGGUCCUUACAGGGCAUCCCCGCUCCGCCUGCCUCCCCAGCGGACCUCAGACAGCGCCGGGGACAGGCCUCGGAGAACCACAGAGCCAGGCCAGGAAGCGUCAGCCCAAGCCAGCAACCCGGGCAGCACGCCAGAGCCUCCAAGGACGAUCCGACAAGCCCCAGUCCCGCCUCCCAGGAAGAAACGGGUCUCCCGGCAGCUGGCCUCUGUCCUCCCAACUCCCCUGGAGACUGCAGAGCUCUCCACAGCAGGGGAGGCCCCAGAGAAGCCCACAUCUGGUCCCCACCAGGGAGAGAUCCAAGGUCAUGCCUCCCCCGCCGGGAGUAAUCAGACCUCGCAUGCCCCAGUAGGGGCCCGAGCCCAGAGCGCUCCAGAGUUCAAGGGCUCCCUGGCCUCCCUCUCGGACAGCUUGGGCGUGCCUGCCUCGGCCACUGACCAGGACUCAUACUCGACCAGCAGCACGGAGGAGGAGCUGGAUCAGUUUAGCAGCCCCGGCAUGAAGAAGAAGCCGUCCAUGAUCCUGGGCAAGGCGCGCCACCGGCUGAGCUUUGCGAGCUUCAGCAAUGUCUUCAAUGCCUUCCUGUCCAACAACCGCAAGCUGUACAAGAAGGUGGUGGAGCUGGCCCAGGACAAGGGCUCGUACUUCGGCAACCUGGUGCAGGACUACAAAGUGUACAGCCUGGAGAUGAUGUCCCAGCAGACCUCCAGCACCGAAAUGCUGCAGGAAAUCCGCACCAUGAUGACCCAGCUCAAGAGCUACCUGCUGCAGAGCACCGAGCUCAAGGCCCUGGUGGACCCCGCCCUGCACACCGAGGAGGAGCUAGAAGCCAUUGUGGAGUCUGCCUUGUACAAGUGUGUCCUGAAGCCCCUGAAGGAAGCCAUCUACUCCUGCCUGCAUGAGAUCCACAGCAAGGACAGCUCACUGCAGCAGCUCAAGGAUAACCAGAUGGUUAUCCUAGCCACCACUACCACCGACCUGGGCGUGACCACCAGCGUGCCAGAGGUGCCCGUCAUGGAGAAGAUCCUGCAGAAGUUCGCCAGCAUGCACAAGGCCUACUCGCCCGAGAAGAAGAUCUCCAUCCUGCUUAAGACCUGUAAGCUCAUCUACGACUCCAUGGCCCUCGGCAACCCAGGGAAGCCCUACGGGGCAGACGACUUCCUGCCGGUGCUCAUGUACGUCCUGGCCCGCAGCAACCUCACAGAGAUGCUUCUCAACGUGGAAUACAUGAUGGAGCUCAUGGAUCCCGCCCUGCAGCUGGGGGAGGGUUCCUACUAUCUGACCACCACCUACGGGGCCCUGGAGCACAUCAAGAACUAUGACAAGAUCACGGUGACCCGGCAGCUGAGCGUGGAGGUGCAGGACUCGAUCCACCGCUGGGAGCGCCGGCGCACGCUCAACAAGGCUCGGGCCUCCCGCUCCUCCGUGCAGGUGCGACCUGGGACCGAGAGGGUGGGAGGGGACCAGGGGACCUUGCUCCCAGACCACCCCUGCUGCCUGCCAGUUCAGGAGCAAUGGCACUGAGCCCCCAGCCUGCCAGUGUGUGCCGGCUUAGGGGCUGGGGUUGAGAAGUUGAGGGCUGGAGAAAAGUAUCAGCGAGCAUCCGCGUUUCAGUUGGGCCCACAAGAUAGGAAGAAGGAGACCUUCACCCAGCAUUCCUCAGCGACUGUGAUGUCUGAGCGGGCUGUUAGGGCUGGAGAUGGGAACAGUGGUUUGUCCCAGUUAAAAAGCCCAGGAGCUGAUCUUCAGCCUUGCCACUUGGUGCCCAGACAAAUGCAGCAGCUGCCAAGGGUCCCCUGCCCCUAACCUGCUCACAGCCUGCCCAUCUCCAACCCACUCACCCAUCCUUCCCCACUUCUGUCUGUACAGACUCAGUGUUGAAAAGUCACUGGUGGCCAGACUCCUGCCCCCACCCAUCCCAUUAUCCCACACCUCCGAGGCUGCAUCAGAUCAGUUCAUUUCAGUUCAGUCAAUCAGUCGUGCCCGACUCUUUUCGACCCCAUGGACUGCAGCACGUCACGCUUCCCUGUCCAUCACCAACUCCUGGAGCCUACUCAAGCUCAUGCAUCAGAACAGCUAUGAACACCCUGAGCUCAACUCCCUAGGGCUUAGCCUCAGCCCAUGCUGGUCCAUCUCCCCUUCCUCACCAGCUGCCAUGCCCAGCCUCAGUGUCUCCAAUAGCCCCUCCUCUGAAAAGCCUUCCCUGACACCCCCCGCCUGCCCCACCCCCCAUUCCCUAUGGCAUGGGUUAGAAGUGCUUCCUGCUGCUGCUGCUUCUAUUGUAGCGCAUAUACCCCGUACUGUAACCAACAAUGUAUAAAGCUGUAACCCUGAGAGAGCAGGCCCUAUUGCUCACAUGUCUCAAGGCCUGGGCCAGAGUGGGACUGGGGAGUGUGCACAAUGGCAGGAGUUAGGACAGUGAAUCAAGCUGCAGUCCAGAGCUGUGACUAGGUCUCCAGACUCACGUCCCUGGCACCCAGAGCACACUGGACCUGAAUCCCAUGCCUGGCUGCUUUCCACAUGG
rnacentral:lncRNA from 1 species